ACGGUAGUAUGCUGCCCAGUAGUUGUACUGUAGUAUGUAAUACAGUCUUAUCCAGCCCAGUCUUGUACAGUUCUAUAGCCCAGUAGUAGGUAAGCCAGCACUAAAUAAUACAAAAUAAUGUGUCACCCAGUAGCAGUAAUAGGUGUUGCAGCAGCAUAAAAAACUCCUUUUGGUAUGUAAGCUGCGCUUCUCCCACGUGGGAGAAGAAAACAAAACCAGUCAGCAUUGAGGAGGCCUGUGUGGUCUGUGGCUGCUGCGUCCAUAUGUCUGACUGCCGGGCCCCCCACCCCUAUGGACCGUUAGG